UACGGGAGGCAGCAGUGGGGAAUAUUGCACAAUGGGCGCAAGCCUGAUGCAGCGACGCCGCGUGAGGGAUGACGGCCUUCGGGUUGUAAACCUCUUUCAGUAGGGAAGAAGCGAAAGUGACGGUACCUGCAGAAGAAGCACCGGCUAACUACGUGCCAGCAGCCGCGGUAAU
rnacentral:rRNA from 1 species